rnacentral:rRNA from 1 species
AAUAGAUACCCGGGUAGUCCACGCCGUAAACGAUGAGUGCUAAGUGUUAGAGGGUUUCCGCCCUUUAGUGCUGCAGCUAACGCAUUAAGCACUCCGCCUGGGGAGUACGGCCGCAAGGCUGAAACUCAAAGGAAUUGACGGGGGCCCGCACAAGCGGUGGAGCAUGUGGUUUAAUUCGAAGCAACGCGAAGAACCUUACCAGGUCUUGACAUCCUCUGCUAACCCUAGAGAUAGGGCGUUCCCCUUCGGGGGACAGAGUGACAGGUGGUGCAUGGUUGUCGUCAGCUCGUGUCGUGAGAUGUUGGGUUAAGUCCCGCAACGAGCGCAACCCUUGAUCUUAGUUGCCAGCAUUCAGUUGGGCACUCUAAGGUGACUGCCGGUGACAAACCGGAGGAAGGUGGGGAUGACGUCAAAUCACCAUGCCCCUUAUGACCUGGGCUACACACGUGCUACAAUGGAUGGUACAAAGAGCUGCGAACCCGCGAGGGUAAGCGAAUCUCAUAAAGCCAUUCUCAGUUCGGA